rnacentral:rRNA from 1 species
GACGGGGAGCACCACAACGGUGGAGCUUGUCGGUUUAAUUGGUAUUCAACGCCGGAAAUCUUACCGGGACCGACAGCAAUAUGAAGGCCAGGCUGAAGACUUUGCCGGAUUAGCUGAGAGGUGGUGCAUGGCCGUCGUCAGUUCGUACUGUGAAGCAUCCUGUUAAGUCAGGCAACGAGCGAGACCCACGCCAACAGUUGCCAGCUCGUCCUCCGGGAUGGUGGGGACACUGUUGGGACCGCCUCUGCUAAAGAGGAGGAAGGAAUGGGCAACGGUAGGUCAGCAUGCCCCGAAUUAUCUGGGCUACACGCGGGCUACAAUGGGUGGGACAAUGGGUAUCGACACCGAAAGGUGAAGGCAAUCUCCUAAACCCAUCCGUAGUUCGGAUUGUGGGCUGCAACUCGCCCACAUGAAGCUGGAAUCUGUAGUAAUCGUGUCUCAAAAUGGCACGGUGAAUAUGUCCCUGCUCCUU